rnacentral:rRNA from 1 species
GUUGGUGUUUACAGCGCUGAGGGUCCACCCGUUCCCAUCCCGAACACGGUAGUUAAGCUCAGCUGUGCCGACAAUACUUGGCUGGAAGCGGCCCGGGAAAAUAGGACGAUGCCAACA